AGUGAACGCUGGCGGUAGGCCUAACACAUGCAAGUCGAACGGCAGCACAGUAAGAGCUUGCUCUUACGGGUGGCGAGUGGCGGACGGGUGAGGAAUACAUCGGAAUCUACUUUUUCGUGGGGGAUAACGUAGGGAAACUUACGCUAAUACCGCAUACGACCUACGGGUGAAAGCAGGGGAUCUUCGGACCUUGCGCGAUUGAAUGAGCCGAUGUCGGAUUGGCUAGUUGGCGGGGUAAAGGCCCACCAAGACGACGAUCCGUAGCUGGUCUGAGAGGAUGAUCAGCCACACUGGAACUGAGACACGGUCCAGACUCCUACGGGAGGCAGCAGUGGGGAAUAUUGGACAAUGGGCGCAAGCCUGAUCCAGCCAUACCGCGUGGGUGAAGAAGGCCUUCGGGUUGUAAAGCCCUUUUGUUGGGAAAGAAAAGCAGCAGGUUAAUACCCCGCCGUUCUGACGGUACCCAAAGAAUAAGCACCGGCUAACUUCGUG
rnacentral:rRNA from 1 species